rnacentral:lncRNA from 1 species
GUUGGAUGUGGGAGGGUGUUGGAUUGGCUCACGAAAAGCUGGAAGGAACCGGAUGACUUUGAUUUGGAUCUACGAAGGUGGGGUGGCUGGACAUGAGAGGACUCUGUUUAGUUUGGGAGAGGAGGUUGGAAGCUAGAAACGUGGACACACCAUAUGAGGAUUUAAGCUGAUUCGGAUUCGGAGUGCUCACAGCUAGGAUAACAUGGGAGGUUGAAAUAUGGAAUGAAGGAGACUUGUUUACGUGAAGAGAUUGACUACGAGUAUGUGAUGCAGGGGAAUUGGGAUCAAUGGCUAAAACAGAAUCUGAGAGGAUCUAAUUCACGGAAUGCAUGUGAUUUGGGUCCAGGGAUCAUCCCAAAUGAGUUUGACUAGACCUGCAUAGAUUAGGCUCAAUUAAUAAUUAAAUCAAACUCGAAUUAAUUUAUUAAAAUGCAAUGAUGGAGGU